UUGGAUAGGGCCUUUCUACCUCUUGUAAUGAGGCCGGCCAAACUGUCCCGGACACCACUUGCAGUGUCUCGGAGGAGGAGUGAGCGAGGCGGGGGCGGGCAUCUGGGCCUCGAGGCGCCGAGGACGUGUGGUGGCAAGGAGUGGGCGCGGGGAGAAGGGCGGGCUAAGGGAACGCCCCGCGCGGGCCCCAGCGUCCCGGACGGGCGAGGUGCGGCGCCUUUAAGGUCCGCUGGGGGCGUGCUAGCAGCGGCCACGGGCCCUUGGAGAGGUGAGCGCUGGCGCCCCGCGGGUCCUGUGCUCGGAGACGGGACUCGAAGUAGGACCUACGGCGCGCCCGAGUUUCCCACCUCCUCCCCCGAGCGCGGGCCGGCGGGUGGUACGCCCCGCGGACUCUCACUGGGCACCCACCCGGCUGCGGGAGCGCGAGGCGCCGCUACUGUGGCCAUGGGCAGCUUCCAGCUGGAGGACUUCGCGGCGGGCUGGAUCGGAGGUGAGCCCGGCCCUGGAUGGGAGGGAGCCCCCCACCCCCACCCCGGAGGUGCAGCCAGCGUCAUUGUCGGUCACCCUCUGGACACGGUCAAGACCCGCCUGCAGGCCGGCGUCAACUACGGGGACACCAUCAGCUGCAUCCGCACGGUGUACAGGAGGGAGAGUGUCUUCGGCUUCUUCAAGGGCAUGUCCUUUCCCCUUGCCAGCAUCGCGGUCUACAACUCUGCGGUGUUUGGCGUCUUCAGUAACACGCAGAGGUUCCUCAGCCAGCACCACUGCAGGGAGCCCGGGGCCAGCCCGUCCGGCACCCUGUCUGACCUUCUCCUGGCCAGCAUGGUGGCUGGCGUGGUCUCUGUGGGGCUGGGCACGCCUGUAGACCUCAUCAAGAUCCGGCUGCAGAUGCAAACACAGCCUUUUCAGGAAGCCAACCUUGGUUUGAGACCAAGGGCGAUGACUCUUGGGAAGCCACCAGUCUACCAGGGGCCUGUGGAUUGCAUUGCAACCAUCGUGCGGACCGAGGGCCUGGCAGGGAUGUACCGGGGUUUUGGCGCCAUGCUGCUGAGGGAUGUCCCGGGCUAUUGCCUCUACUUCAUCCCCUAUGUGUUCCUGAAUGACUGGAUCACACCCGAGGCCUGCGCAGGCCCCAGCCUCUGUGCUGUGUGGCUGGCAGGCGGCGUGGCAGGAGCAAUUUCUUGGGGGACAGCGACUCCUAUGGAUGUCGUGAAAAGUCGACUCCAAGCUGAUGGGGUUUAUUUAAACAAAUACAAAGGUGUCCUGGAUUGUAUCUCCCAGAGUUACCAGAAGGAAGGUCUUAAAGGCCCAGCACUGUGGGAGAGGAGAUCCACAUUCCAAGCUGGGCCCUGCCUGGCUCAGCCUCACAGAACAGAGUCAAGCCCAGGCCCACAGGGGAGUGUCUGUUGCACCCAGCAUGGAAUUUUCCUCUCGGAGCUCGAGCCAGUUCCUUGCUGUUAUUCAGUCACUGCAGGUGUUUUUCAGAGGCAUCACUGUGAACGCUGUGCGCGGCUUCCCCAUGAGUGCUGCCAUGUUCCUCGGGUAUGAGUUCUCGCUGCAGGCAAUCCGCGGGGACCACGCCGUGACUAGCCCCUGAGCGCCAGCCAGUGUGCAGUCCUGGGAGAGCUGCCACCGUGUCUCCGCCUCUGUGUCACUGGUGCCUCACGCGGAGCCCGACACCCAGAUGGCCCCUCAGAAACAUCACUGAGAAGAUGGGCAAUCAAGUGCCAGCGUCCCCUCAGCUCCUCCCCUUCUUUUCCUCCCUGUGUCUCCUUCUCUGGCUCCACACUGGUGUCCUGCAGAGCUGAGAAGACAAGGUGGAACGAGUCACUGAAUUUUCUAGUCAACAAGAAACCAUUUUGCUUCAGCCUUGGCGACUACAAAUUCUCUCAAGAAGGAUGGCUUUUGUCAGAAAGGUCUCACAGUCCUCUCUGCUGCCUUCCCUGGGCCAGCAGAGGCCUGCUAGCAUUCGUGGACGGGCCCAGACCCUAGACCCAGGGGAAGGGUGUGAUGGAUCAGGCCGAUGAGACUGAGCCCAGGACAAGGCUUAGAAUGCCGGCUUCAUCAGAUGAUUUAGCUUUUCACUAAAGCACCCACAUUCACAGCUCUCCCAGCUUUUGGCUCUCUCUUACAAAAGGAAAAGAGUAGUAACACAUUUUGCAUAAUUAAACGUCUUGAGUGGGUUUUGUCCAGGGCGAGGAAGAAGAACGGCCUGGUACUUAAAGCUUUGCUCAGAUAUCAGCUGCUCUCCGCCUUGAACAGGUGAAAAUAGCUUUCAAAAAAAAAAUCCUAUCAUAAAAUCCGUGCCUCUUUAUUGCAGAAAAAAAUAGAAAAUACAAACAGAACACAAGAAAAUAACCUAUUUUCUGCAGUAUUUUGUAACUCAUCCUUCCCAUUUAAUAGUUCAAGACCAUUUUUUCCAUGUCAUUAAAUAUUCAGCAGCAAGGUGGUUUUUGUGCCAAGACCUGGCAGAUCCCAGAGUGGCUGGACGCUUGCCCGAGCUGUCACACCCGGCAACUUGUGACCGCCCUGGUGGUUGGCUACUUCUGGAGGAAGGAAGAAGUUUCUAGCAAGCCAAAUUCUGAUCAUCCUGGAUUUAACCUUUCAGAGCAGCGACCACCCCAGCUGGAAACCGCCCUUUCCGGAAGUACUCUCACGGUACAAGAGGCACAGAUGUGUGUCAGCCUUGCCUCUGCUGGAGUGAGACAGGAGGCUGUGGCCCCCCGGGUGGAAGAAGGGGUUUCCCAACGACUUUUCUGGAGCCUCAUCUUGAACAAGCCUUCAGUUUGUUUCAACUUCCUGCUCUAACCUAACAGCCCCAAGGUCCUUUAUCAAGCCCUGGAUUUGAAUUUGCCGAGUAGCUCUGAGGUCAUGGGCAGGUCCUCUAGGCAGCAGCAGUAGCAUCUACUCUUUGAAGACUUGGAAACCACUGCCUCCCUUGUGGUCUAGAUGGGGGGCAGAGUGAGAGGUGGUGUAUGUUAGAGAACCUCAGAGCCCUACGGUCCCUAAUCGGUGGCAGGAGGGUGCCCAUCUUGAGUCCCUGGGUGCAGGUGGUAGGAUGGCAUGGAAUGGUUUCCAUUGUCUAGACUCCACCGGAGCAGCGUCCAAACCACAGUACCUACGGCCCCCUUCCAACAAGCAGGGGCAGGGUCAGAGCUCUCCCUCAGCCCCCACCAACUCCCGUGGAGGAGGAACACUUCACUUUCAUUUAUCCUCUCCCCCAGUUCACACACACACGAGUGAACCAAGGACCAUGGCAAAUCCAGUAAGUGGGGCGUGAGGUCAUUGGGAUGCGGCUAGUUUGACCUGUUCUCAGGGAGUACCAGACUCAGACAACAUGAGAAAGAUGACCCUGGGUGGUAGAAGUGGGGUCCCAACCCUGGUCAGAAAGUCAGCUCUUAGGUUUGUUGGAAGCCCAUGAGUCCAGCUGGGCCAUCCCCACCGUCCCACCAGGAUCUCCUAUCCCAGAAGCUUCCUGGAACAAUGCUGGUCUGCCUCCUGACUUGACAUUCUUGCUCCACACCUCAUGGAUCUACCUUUAAAUCCUGGAAAGUCCAUUUCCCAGGAAAUAAGAUACAUUCUUCCUAUAAUACCUUUUUUUGAGCAUUUAUAGAUGACCUCAGACAAGCUCCUAGCCCUUCACAUCUGCCCUCAUGGUGAUGCCCUGCCAACUCUUGCUUCAUAUACACAGUUUUCCCAAUGGAUUGUUGACCCUUAGAUCCUGCUUGAUAACUUGGGUUUGAUGAAAGCCUUAUUUUUCAUUCUGUUCCCCUAGGGCCAGCGUCACCUGGCCAGAGCUGGUGUCAUCUGACCAGAGCCUCUUUUUGCUACAAGUUGGUGCUGGAGGCAUGGCAUCUCUAGACUCCUCAGUAGUGAACUUAAGAGAAAGAAGGCCUCUCUUCCACCCGUGCUGUGGGUCAGGUGGGCCCUCAGCCAUCGGCGCCGACCUCAGAAUCCCUUCUUUCCUGAGGACUCUGCUCCUCACCUCCCAGCUGCGGCCACUCACCUGCUGCCUGGGAAGGAACUGUUGGACCAUUGGACCCACUGAUGGACCACCAGCUCUUUCAGAUCUCCACUGGCCCCAAUACAAAGCAGGAUAAGAUCGGCCCUGUCCCCAUGCCUGCUGUUAACACUCACUGGGAGCUCAUGGAGGAGCUCAACUGUCUGCAUGUUUCCAAAUAAAAACACUGAAGACCUCUUCAGGUCAUUACCGAA